CAAAACUAAGCCAAACCACUGCACUAAAAAUUACAUUGCCUUAAAUCAAAUGCCUUUUUUUUUUUUCUUUUUCUUUUUUUUCUAAUAACUGCAGUAAGAAGGUUUGUUUAGGGAGGGCUGUCUCUAGCCACAGGAAAAGCAAGCAGUUCCCAUAGGGUACCAUACAGCUGGGAGGAGCAGUGUAACAACUGUUCCAGCACCUACUUCACCUCAUCUCUGCAAGGACAGCUGUGUUGACAACUCCUCCUACCCUACUGAGUUUGUUUUUUUUUUUUUUUUUUUUUUUAAAAAAAAAGGAGCUGGAAUAUAUAUGCAGCAGCCACCUGGAGAAGGAAGAAAGGGCGGCUCAUAUCAGUGCUUCCCCUAUCCUCUUCCCAUGGCAGCAUGGCUUCCCUGUCCUGGCUUUCAUCCUCAGAACAGGAAAUCUCAACUUUGCCCACACUUCUUGAGAUGGUUUAAGACAGCUUUAUAUAUGAACACCUGAAAACAAGACAGCUUGAGAUUCCAGGAACCUUUCUCAAGCCCACAACAGGGAAGAUAUCUGCCUUGUUCUUUCUUUCUUUCAUCUACAACUACUGCAGACGUUUUGCUCCAGGAUUAUAAGAUUGUGUCUCGAGGAAUGUGAGAGCCUCUGGGAAAGUACUACGUUCCUUAUCUGUCAUUUUGGGAACUGACAUAAACUGCCAUUGAGUUCAUCUGUAUUUCCUAGAAUACGCUCAGGACUUCACCAGAUCAGACCUAUGUAAAAACAAACACAUACAAAAUACUGGAUGUACCCAAAUUUCCUGACUCACUUUAUCAAAUUCACAGCUGUAUAGUUCCAGCUUUUUGCAGUAAACAAUCUGAUGUACAAGAAACCACCAAACACAGCAGUCCUUGAAGACCAAGCUACUUCUCUCCCACACAGAAAUCAGGACAGUUCCUCUCUGGGAAGCUGCCUAUACUUCAGAAAAUUAUGUGUUUGAGCUGUUGAGACUUCUGGAAGGUGGGAGUGGUAUGUCAACCACAUAAGAAAGAGAAAGCCACACGAGAAUUCUUUCUGCUUUGAAUAAUGAGUCAUGGAAUAGAGUUAUGACUCUGUUGCUCUGCAUGUGAGCUGUGUUUGAAGCAUGUUGACGCUCUCCGCCUUGAUGCAGCUGGCACCC
rnacentral:lncRNA from 1 species